GAUGAACGCUAGCUACAGGCUUAACACAUGCAAGUCGAGGGGCAGCAUUUCAGUUUGCUUGCAAACUGGAGAUGGCGACCGGCGCACGGGUGAGUAACACGUAUCCAACCUGCCGAUAACUCGGGGAUAGCCUUUCGAAAGAAAGAUUAAUACCCGAUGGUAUAAUCAGACCGCAUGGUCUUGUUAUUAAAGAAUUUCGGUUAUCGAUGGGGAUGCGUUCCACUAGGCAGUUGGUGAGGUAACGGCUCACCAAACCUUCGAUGGAUAGGGGUUCUGAGAGGAAGGUCCCCCACAUUGGAACUGAGACACGGUCCAAACUCCUACGGGAGGCAGCAGUGAGGAAUAUUGGUCAAUGGGCGCAGGCCUGAACCAGCCAAGUAGCGUGAAGGAUGACUGCCCUAUGGGUUGUAAACUUCUUUUAUAUGGGAAUAAAGUUUUCCACGUGUGGAAUUUUGUAUGUACCAUAUGAAUAAGGAUCGGCUAACUCCGUGCCAGCAGCCGCGGUAAUACGGAGGAUCCGAGCGUUAUCCGGAUUUAUUGGGUUUAAAGGGAGCGUAGGUGGACAGUUAAGUCAGUUGUGAAAGUUUGCGGCUCAACCGUAAAAUUGCAGUUGAUACUGGCUGUCUUGAGUACAGUAGAGGUGGGCGGAAUUCGUGGUGUAGCGGUGAAAUGCUUAGAUAUCACGAAGAACUCCGAUUGCGAAGGCAGCUCACUGGACUGCAACUGACACUGAUGCUCGAAAGUGUGGGUAUCAAACAGGAUUAGAUACCCUGGUAGUCCACACAGUAAACGAUGAAUACUCGCUGUUUGCGAUAUACAGUAAGCGGCCAAGCGAAAGCAUUAAGUAUUCCACCUGGGGAGUACGCCGGCAACGGUGAAACUCAAAGGAAUUGACGGGGGCCCGCACAAGCGGAGGAACAUGUGGUUUAAUUCGAUGAUACGCGAGGAACCUUACCCGGGCCUAAAUUGCAUUUGAAUAUAUUGGAAACAGUAUAGCCGUAAGGCAAAUGUGAAGGUGCUGCAUGGUUGUCGUCAGCUCGUGCCGUGAGGUGUCGGCUUAAGUGCCAUAACGAGCGCAACCCUUAUCUUUAGUUACUAACAGGUCAUGCUGAGGACUCUAGAGAGACUGCCGUCGUAAGAUGUGAGGAAGGUGGGGAUGACGUCAAAUCAGCACGGCCCUUACGUCCGGGGCUACACACGUGUUACAAUGGGGGGUACAGAAGGCAGCUACCUGGUGACAGGAUGCUAAUCCCAAAAGCCUCUCUCAGUUCGGAUCGAAGUCUGCAACCCGACUUCGUGAAGCUGGAUUCGCUAGUAAUCGCGCAUCAGCCAUGGCGCGGUGAAUACGUUCCCGGGCCU
rnacentral:rRNA from 1 species